CGUGCUAUAUGGGGAGCUAGCGGUGCCCUGUAACCUGCAAUCCGCUACAGCAGGAUAGAACACCCACCGAGGCCUAUCUUAUGGAAAGCCGACGUGCGUAAGGGAUGUCGAUAACAAGGUCUCGUGCAAUUCCCAAUCGUGAACCGUGUCAGAGCUUGACCGCAGCAGCACUAAGCGAUCCCGGGAAUGUGCCACGAGGUAGCUUUGAGGGAGUUACCUGCGUACGUGCCGAUUCGGUAAGGUAGGUCGGAGUGGGCGCACG
rnacentral:SRP_RNA from 1 species